rnacentral:tRNA from 1 species
CAAAGUAUAGCUCAGCCAGCACAGCAUCUCCCUUACACCGAGAAGACAUUCGUGCAAAUCGAAUUAUUUUGA